rnacentral:misc_RNA from 1 species
AGACAUGUUUUACGAGUAUGUUAGCAGUAUCCCAAUUAUGAUAAAUAUUUUUUUUGCACUUCACAAUACACCUGUUUUCUUUGUGCUACCAUUUGAUGCUCUGUUUGGCGACGUUUGAUAUUGGAAAAAAUAUUUAUUUUUUAUGCAUUGGAGAUCUGAGGUUUCAGAAGAUUUCAAAAUAGAUUUACUCCUUUGACCCAAGAACUGUAAGAUAUUCUAGUUUUGAGCUUCAUGGGACAUAUAUAUAAGUAUUAUUGUUUUCUUUGCAAACAGUCCUUUUACAUAUGUUUUGAAAUUGACCUUGGGGGUCUACUAUAAUAGGUAGAAAUGGAGACUAGAACACUACACUAUGGGCUCAUGAAUAUUCUUUUUAUGAAAAUAAUCAUUUAAUAUGAUUUUAGAUGGCAAAUUUAAGAUGCUUUGCAGUUAAUGCUGACUAAAGGCUUUUACG